GCAAGUCGAGCGCGCCCUUCGGGGUGAGCGGCGGACGGGUGAGUAACGCGUGGGAACGUGCCCUUUGCUGCGGAAUAGCCACUGGAAACGGUGAGUAAUACCGCAUGAGCCCUUCGGGGGAAAGAUUUAUCGGCAAAGGAUCGGCCCGCGUUGGAUUAGGUAGUUGGUGGGGUAAUGGCCUACCAAGCCGACGAUCCAUAGCUGGUUUUAGAGGAUGAUCAGCCACACUGGGACUGAGACACGGCCCAGACUCCUACGGGAGGCAGCAGUGGGGAAUCUUAGACAAUGGGCGCAAGCCGGAUCUAGCCAUGCCGCGUGAGUGACGAAGGCCCUAGGGUCGUAAAGCUCUUUCCCCUGUGAUGAUAAUGACAGUAGCAGGUAAAGAAACCCCGGCUAACUCCGUGCCAGCAGCCGCGGUAAUACGGAGGGGGUUAGCGUUGUUCGGAAUUACUGGGCGUAAAGCGCGCGUAGGCGGAUUGGAAAGUUGGGGGGUGAAAUCCCGGGGCUCAACCCCGGAACUGCCUUCAAAACUUCCAGUCUGGAGUUCGAGAGAGGUGAGUGGAAUUCCGAGUGUAGAGGUGAAAUUCGUAGAUAUUCGGAGGAACACCAGUGGCGAAGGCGGCUCACUGGCUCGAUACUGACGCUGAGGUGCGAAAGUGUGGGGAGCAAACAGGAUUAGAUACCCUGGUAGUCCACACCGUAAACGAUGAAUGCUAGUCGUCGGCAAGCAUGCUUGUCGGUGACACACCUAACGGAUUAAGCAUUCCGCCUGGGGAGUACGGCCGCAAGGUUACAACUCAAAUGAAUUGACGGAA
rnacentral:rRNA from 1 species